AGACUUGCAGAAAUUAUGAUAACAGUGGAUAACCUUAUCUUGGGACCAUCUUGUCAUAAUUUGAUGCUGAACCAGAGAAGACCAUUGUUUGGGCUUUUCUGCCACGAAG
rnacentral:lncRNA from 1 species